rnacentral:rRNA from 1 species
AUUGAACGCUGGCGGCAUGCCUUACACAUGCAAGUCGAACGGCAGCAUGAUCUAGCUUGCUAGAUUGAUGGCGAGUGGCGAACGGGUGAGUAAUACAUCGGAACGUGCCCUGUAGUGGGGGAUAACUAGUCGAAAGAUUAGCUAAUACCGCAUACGACCUGAGGGUGAAAGUGGGGGACCGCAAGGCCUCAUGCUAUAGGAGCGGCCGAUGUCUGAUUAGCUAGUUGGUGAGGUAAAGGCUCACCAAGGCGACGAUCAGUAGCUUGUCUGAGAGGACGAUCAGCCCACCUGGGAAUGGGACACGGCCCAGACUCCUACGGGAGGCAGCAGUGGGGAAUUUUGGACAAUGGGCGAAAGCCUGAUCCAGCAAUGCCGCGUGUGUGAAGAAGGCCUUCGGGUUGUAAAGCACUUUUGUCCGGAAAGAAAUGGCUCUGGUUAAUACCUGGGGUCGAUGACGGUACCGGAAGAAUAAGGACCGGCUAACUACGUG